rnacentral:snoRNA from 1 species
UGGAAAAAAACAACACAGUGAGUAAGAUAGGAGCUCUGGCCAUUAUAUUAAGAAGUUGAUUUCAGAAUACAAUUCGAGGAUAUUACAUGGAACAAAAAGCAACUGAACUUUCCC